rnacentral:rRNA from 1 species
AUUGAACGCUGGCGGCAGGCCUAACACAUGCAAGUCGAACGGUAACAGGAAGAAGCUUGCUUCUUUGCUGACGAGUGGCGGACGGGUGAGUAAUGUCUGGGAAACUGCCUGAUGGAGGGGGAUAACUACUGGAAACGGUAGCUAAUACCGCAUAACGUCAAGACCAAAGAGGGGGACCUUCGGGCCUCUUGCCAUCGGAUGUGCCCAGAUGGGAUUAGCUAGUAGGUGGGGUAACGGCUCACCUAGGCGACGAUCCCUAGCUGGUCUGAGAGGAUGACCAGCCACACUGGAACUGAGACACGGUCCAGACUCCUACGGGAGGCAGCAGUGGGGAAUAUUGCACAAUGGGCGCAAGCCUGAUGCAGCCAUGCCGCGUGUAUGAAGAAGGCCUUCGGGUUGUAAAGUACUUUCAGCGGGGAGGAAGGGAGUAAAGUUAAUACCUUUGCUCAUUGACGUUACCCGCAGAAGAAGCACCGGCUAACUCCGUG